CCGUGUUUAUUGUACCUUGUUGCUUCGGCGGGCCCGCCGUUUUCGAACGGCCGCCGGGGAGGCCUUGCGCCCCCGGGCCCGCGCCCGCCGAAGACCCCAACAUGAACUCUGUUCUGAAAGUAUGCAGUCUGAGUUUGAUUACCAUAAUCAAUUAAAACUUUCAACAACGGAUCUCUUGGUUCCGGCAUCGAUGAAGAACGCAGCGAAAUGCGAUAAGUAAUGUGAAUUGCAGAAUUCAGUGAAUCAUCGAGUCUUUGAACGCACAUUGCGCCCCCUGGUAUUCCGGGGGGCAUGCCUGUCCGAGCGUCAUUGCUGCCCUCAAGCACGGCUUGUGUGUUGGGCCCCCGUCCCCGGUUCUCCCCGGGGACGGGCCCGAAAGGCAGCGGCGGCACCGCGUCCGAUCCUCGAGCGUAUGGGGCUUUGUCACCCGCUCUGUAGGCCCGGCCGGCGCCAGCCGACACCCCAACUUUAUUUUCUAAGGUUGACCUCGGAUCAGGUAGGGAUACCCGCUGAACUUAAGCAUAUCAAUAAGCGGAG
rnacentral:rRNA from 1 species